rnacentral:rRNA from 1 species
AGCGGAUGGGGAGCAACCUAGUUGUGCUUGUGUAAAGGUAGUGCCAAGAAAAGCGAUGAUCAUGUUGAAAAUCAAUUCCCGGUACCCGAAACCGACACAGGUGGGCAAGUAGAGAAUACUAAGGGGCGCGAGGUAACUCUCUCCAAGGAACUCGGCAAAAUGACCCCGUAACUUAGGGAGAAGGGGUGCCACCGAGAGGUGGUCGCAGUGAAGAGGCCCAGGCGACUGUUUAGCAAAAACAUAGGUCUCUGCAAACUCGAAAGAGGAGGUAUAGGGGCUGACGCCUGCCCAGUGCCGGAAGGUUAAAGAAGUUGGUCAGUUUUAGGAUGAAGCUAGCGACUGAAGCCCCGGUGAACGGCGGCCGUAACUAUAACGGUCCUAAGGUAGCGAAAUUCCUUGUCGGGUAGGUGCCGACCCGCACGAAAGGCGUAACGAUCUGGGCGCUGUCUCGGAGAGAGGCUCGGCGAAAUAGGAUUGUCUGUGAAGAUACGGACUACCUGCAUUUGGACAGAAAGACCCUAUGAAGCUUUACUAUAGCUUGGAAUUGUGUUCGGGCUUCCUGUGCGCAGGAUAGGUGGGAGGCGUAGAAGGUAUUCUUGUGGGGAUACUGGAGCCAACGGUGAGAUACCACUCUCAGGAGGCUAGAAUUCUAACUUAAUUAAGGACAGUUUCAGGUGGGUAGUUUGACUGGGGCGGUCGCCUCCAAAAAGGUAACGGAGGCGUACAAAGGUUCCCUCAGACUGGUUGGAAAUCAGUCGAAGAGUGCAAAGGCAGAAGGGAGCUUGACUGCGAGAAGUACAGUUCGAGCAGGGUGGAAACACGGUCUUAGUGAUCCGACGGUGCUGUGUGGAAGGGCCGUCGCUCAACGGAUAAAAGUUACUCUAGGAUAACAGGCUGAUCUCCCCCAAGGGUUCACAUCGACGGGGAGGUUUGGCACCUCGAUGUCGGCUCAUCGCAACCUGGGGCGGAAGUACGUCCCAAGGGUUGGGCUGUUCGCCCAUUAAAGCGGUACGUGAGCUGGGUUCAGAACGUCGUGAGACAGUUCGGUCCAUAUCCGAUGUAGGCGUGAGAAUAUUGAGAGGAGCCUUCCUUAGUACGAGAGGACCGGGAAGGACGCACCGCUGGUGUACCUGUUAUGAUGCCAAUUGUAAACGCAGGGUAGCCAAGUGCGGAGAGGAUAACCGCUGAAAGCAUCUAAGUGGGAAGCCCACCUCAAGAUGAGUAUUCUGGUGUAAGGUCACGGGAAGAUGACCCGUAAAUAGGCACGAGGUGGAAGUGCAGAGAUGUAUGAAGCCGAAGUGUACUAAUAGACCGUCGGCUUGAUA